GAUGAACGCUAGCGGCAGGCCUAACACAUGCAAGUCGAGGGAGGAGCUUUCGGGCUUCGACCGGCGUACGGGUGCGUAACGCGUAUACAAUCUGCCUUUCACAUAGGGAUAGCCCGAAGAAAUUUGGAUUAAUACCUAAUGGUAUAUAGGAGUGGCAUCACAUUUAUAUUAAAGCUGAGGCGGUGAAAGAUGAGUAUGCGUUCUAUUAGCUAGUUGGAGAGGUAACGGCUCCCCAAGGCUACGAUAGAUAGGGGUUCUGAGAGGGAUAUCCCCCACACUGGUACUGAGAUACGGACCAGACUCCUACGGGAGGCAGCAGUGAGGAAUAUUGGACAAUGGUCGGAAGACUGAUCCAGCCAUGCCGCGUGCAGGAAGACGGCCUUAUGGGUUGUAAACUGCUUUUGCAGGGGAAGAAUAAGGACUACGAGUAGUUUGAUGACGGUACUCUGCGAAUAAGCAUGG
rnacentral:rRNA from 1 species